CAGUCGCCGCGGUAAGACAGAGGAUGCAAGCGUUAUCCGGAAUGAUUGGGCGUAAAGCGUCUGUAGGUGGCUUUUCAAGUCCGCUGUCAAAUCCCAGGGCUCAACCCUGGACAGGCGGUGGAAACUACCAAGCUAGAGUACGGUAGGGGCAGAGGGAAUUUCCAGUGGAGCGGCGAAAUGCGUUGAGAUCGGAAAGAACACCAACGGCGAAAGCACUCUGCUGGGCCGACACUGACACUGAGAGACGAAAGCUAGGGGAGCAAAUGGGAUUAGAUACCCGCGUAGUCCCUGUCUCUUAUAC
rnacentral:rRNA from 1 species